GAACAUGUGGGGCUUUCUCUGCAGACCCCCUGCUCCUCAACACGGGGAAGCCAGGCUGCCUAGCAGUCCGGGAGCUGGUGAAAUGGAAUCUGUCAACAGGUCUACAAGGGGCUCUGGAUGAUUUGCACAAUCUGCAAACAAGACUGGGAGCCUACCACUCUGAAGGAAGCACUCUCUCAUUGCCUCUUGGUGAAGUGUAUUGAGAAGUCAGAUCUGCCAAUGGAAAAUGGGUUGUUCUUGCUUUUAACCAGGACAAGAAUCAAGGAGGAGUAGCCCCAGCAGCAGAAUGACUGGGUUCACAUCCUUGCACCUCCACUCUCUGACUGGACCAUGCGACUGAGCAAGCUAUAUACCAUAAAGCUGGAAAGUGGACAAUAAUGAAAGAUCCACUUCGCAGCAUCAGCAUGGGGACUGGGUGAAUAACGUAGUGAGGCAAGCUUCCUAAAGCAGUAUCUGGCUGGCAGUCAGUGCUAUGCAAGGGUUUGCACCUUAUAUUCUACUCAUUGGAUGUUCCUGGGUUCAAGUUUCAUGCAAAACUUAGUAACCCUUCCUGGAGGCUCCAGCUCCCCCUCUGCAAGUGGGAAUGUUUACACCCAUUUCCAAAAGAUGUCCAGGGGUGUUGGUGUCAAGAUGCAAACAAAAUAUGGACUUGGCACAUCAUUAGUGACCAACAUCAAUAUUAACGUUGAUGAUUAGUAAUAUUUAUCAUUUUGACUAAUUUAUAUUUUGAUUUGGAAGAUUCAGGUAUAAGAGAAAGUAGCUGCUUUCUGUUGAACCCAGUCUUUCUAGCUGCCCUUUCUAUGUUUGAGUGCAUUUGUAUGUUUGAGAGCUGGGUCAUGUCAUAGAAGAAAAUGUACAAAGACAGCUCUGGGUUCCUGGAGGAGAUCCAAGUGUAGCUGCCUGGGGCCUACAUUUCUCUUAAUUAACUAUCAGAGCACAUUUUGUAGGGUCUUUAUUUUUCCCUGUUUUCAGGUCCAAGGCACAAUAG